rnacentral:rRNA from 1 species
ACAGUGGACGCGAGCAUCUUUGUUGUAAGUAAUGAAGAGCGUACGGUGGAUGCCUUGGCACCAGGAGCCGAUGAAGGACGUAGGAGGCUGCGAUAAGCCUCGGGGAGCUGUCAACCGAGCUGUGAUCCGAGGAUGUCCGAAUGGGGAAACCCAGCACGAGUGAUGUCGUGUUACCCGCGCCUGAAUAUAUAGGGCGUG